UACAUCUGUGCUAAUACAUUAAAAUCAUACUAGCAAUUAAAAUCACACGAUUGAACUACAACCUAAAAUCUAUAAAUCUAACCAAAUUGUGGAAUUGAGGAGUGCUACUGUGGUGGUUGGCAGCAAAUAAGGAGGUACCUCCAUAAGCGAUGGGAAGGAGAUUAAGGGAUCUACUACAGUGGGAUUCUGGUGAAUCUAGUAUUAUGUAGGCCUUAAUUUAUAUUAAGAAAGUAUUGAGAUAUUUAGAGGUAGUUUCGAAAAAUGCUUGAUGCUAGACCUGUAGUAAAUAGCACCACCGGGAUAAUGAUAAUAACCAUUAGAGUCCAGGCUUAAGGCUGGUAUUUGUUUAUAUUCUUGAGCUAGCUCUAGAUAUUUUUUAACUUGUCUCUCUCUUUCUAUUAUUUCUAUUAGACAUUAUGGUCUCCAGGAUGAACGUU